CUCAGGUGCAGCCCUAAAAAGUAAUAAUAAUAAUAAUAACAAUAAUACAAUAAUAGCUCAAAUGCGCUCGGCAUUAGUAGGUGCUGGGUGCCAGCAUAACUCAGCUUCACAACCACCCUUCCAUUUUUCAUAUGAAGAGACUGAGGCCCAGGAGUGAGGUUACUGCUGGGGCCCAGGACUAGGAAACGGAAGAGCUAAGACCCCAGUCUAGGUUUUUAUUCCCAAGUCCACUGUCUGUAGCAUCUUCGCCCCCUGCUGAAAUUGCCAGGAUGCAGCUCCUGCUCUCAGGAAGCUCACAGUCUCCCACCUGAAUGGUUGACCAUAUUCUGCCUCUACAUUGAUGACUCUGGAUUUUACAAAGGAAGGUUCAGACUCUCAGCCCUUGAGAACUGUGCUCCAGACUCAGCACCCGACUCACCAUCCCUGAAGGUGGCUCAGCUUCUGCUGGCUUAUCUCCAUUCCCCUGGGCUUCUGGAGACAUUCUCCUCCCCUGCCCAGUCCCAACUGCCUGACCCCUGUCUCAGUGGCUGCCCUGGGGUGCUCCUUCUCAGCCUGGGUCACACCUCUUCCAGCUCCCCCUGCCACCCCACAACUGGCUCAGCUCAGGCAAAGAGGCUUUGCAUCUCGGAGGGAUGUUCUGAAGACUGAGGGAUGUGCCACCUCCCCAGUGGGGCUGUCACCUUGACAAAGGCCUUAUCAAGGUUGUAUCUCUCCCAGGCCUACCAUCUACUGACAGCAGGUGCUCAGUAAUCAUAGGCUGACUUUAGGGGGACUGAGCCCAGCCUCAACCCCUGGAGAUUCCACCGUGGCACUGCCUGGUCCCACCUCUUCCUGUUGUUCCCUAACUCCACUGAAACGUGUCUGCCAAAAGCAUGGCAUCCAAGGGAAGCAUAUUACACUCACACUGACUCUCAGCCCUGUUCCCUGUGCAGCUGUGGGCACCCAGUCCUCUGCGGGUCUCUUGGGUCCUUGUCCAGCCCUCUCAUCACCUGCCUGGUCUGGCCUUGCAGCGAAGAGGUGAAACCAGGCCCGGCAAGCUUCCAGGCAUCACUUCCUACCUGCAAACCCGUGCAUUUCCUCAAACAGCUGUGGGACGUGAACGGCACCGGGUUUAAAUGCUGCGGGGUGACCCGCUGCAGGGGUGGGAGGGGUGGGGGUAUGCCAAACUGCUCAGCGUGGUGUGCCAGGCCUGCCUGUGCCCAGUCUCACCUCCCUCUACGCCCACUGCUUGAAUGUAAUAUGCCUCCUCACGACAGGAGAAUUUCCAGCUCAGGGCGCUCCUCCUGCACCUGCGCGCUGGGCUUCUUCCCUGGAAGCGGCCUGUCUCAGUCUUUCUCCAGGCCUAGGGGACUUCCUGUCUGAGAUUCCCCAUGCCCCAGCCGCCCCCCUUCUCCAGGACCAUGGCCUCAUGACACUGCCUAGGCUUUUUUGAACAUCCAGGCUGUCACCAAGUCGUCAACAGGGUGGAAUCAGGUUGGUGAUGUUUGCUGUCGUACUGGGGAUCCCGCACAGUUCCUGGCACACAAUAGUUCAAUAAAUGUUUCCAGAAUGAAUGAAUGAAUGUAUGUAUGGUGCGUCGGGGGACUGGUGGGUCCUGCAGACGUGGCCCUCGUGCGAGCUCCAGAGAGUGACUCCUUUAUCGUCUCUUCCCCGAUCUAGCGUUUCCCAGUCAAUUCAGUUUCGGUUUCCGUUUCUUUUCUCCUUCUCGAUUCAGAAAACCUGAAGCUGGAGCCACGACUCUAGAAUCCAGGGGCGGGAGAGGAAGGCGAGGGCGGAGCGCGUCGGAGCGACACGCAGUAAUUGGGGGCGGAGUCCGGGUGGAGGGGUGGAGCCUAGGAGAGGGGCGUGUCGGGGGCGGGGUUAUACCUCGGCCCCGCCCCGUCCCCCUCCCAGCCCUGCAGCCCGUGCGCCGCGCAGCCUGGCCCGGCUGCUCCUCCCGUUCAAUAGCGCGUCGCGCUCGGCGGCGGUUCUUCCGGAGCUGGCGGGCGCGCGAGGCUUCGGGUCUUCUCCGCCCUCCCCGAGGACCAUCAAGAAAAAAAAGGCUGCCGUUAUUCCAGUUCCACAAGGAUCAAGCCACUGGCCACCACAGUUGCCCACCCAUGGUGCCCCUGAAGGAAACUGAGGCUGGAGAAAAACAGAAAGCAUCGUGUGUGUCAGACGGACUGGCCCCUAGAUAGUUAAGCUACAUCCCUAAGGAAAAAAUGUCAAUGACCCCAGGUUCUUGCAUCUCCCCAUAUAUACAAAAGCACUGAAAUCAGUAUGUCGAGAGGUCUGGUUUUUGCGAUGAGCAGUCAUCUUUUUAUGCUUGAGCCCAGGUUUUUCCUAGCAAAAAACAAAACAAAACAAAACAAAAAAAUCCAAACCAAAAAACA